ACAUUCCAGAGAUGCCCCAGUAAUGGACAUUGGUAGGGCUCCGCAUGUCAUGCAGUUACAGUUUCUUUCUCCCUCAAGAUCCCACCCCUGUAGGCUUCCCCUCAGCCAAUGACAACAGCUUUAUCUCCACACCACUACAUUUACUCAUAGAUAUGAGGGGGUUCCGUCUUUGAGCCUCGUGGUCAGGUUGUCACUGUUGAACUGCUUUUGAAUGGACACAAAACAUGGCAGUUUCAGCAUGAUGAGCAUAACGCUCUGGCUACAGAUUCUUGCCAUUCCUAUGAAUCUGUUUGGAACAAUUUAUAGUGUCUAUGUCUGAAGUUUGGAGAGCCUCCAUGUUGACCUUCGUCUCAGGAAUUAUUCCCAGGCACUUGACCGUGAGGGUAUAAGACAGCUGUUCAAAAUAAGUGACGUCACUCAUUUGGUGAUGCCUCAGGGGCUUUAAAAUUAGACUGUGUCUAAUGUGAUGAUUGCUGAGGAAAGUGCACUUGAGGACAAUAAAUAUGGUGCUGAAAACGGAAAAUACAGCACAUUUUCCAAAGAAGUUAGGGGAGAUGGACUCA